rnacentral:rRNA from 1 species
AUUGAACGCUGGCGGCAUGCUUUACACAUGCAAGUCGAACGGUAACAGGCCGCAAGGUGCUGACGAGUGGCGAACGGGUGAGUAAUGCAUCGGAACGUGCCCAGUCGUGGGGGAUAACUACUCGAAAGAGUAGCUAAUACCGCAUACGAUCUAUGGAUGAACGCGGGGGACCGUAAGGCCUCGCGCGAUUGGAGCGGCCGAUGUCAGAUUAGGUAGUUGGUGGGGUAAAGGCUCACCAAGCCAACGAUCUGUAGCUGGUCUGAGAGGACGACCAGCCACACUGGGACUGAGACACGGCCCAGACUCCUACGGGAGGCAGCAGUGGGGAAUUUUGGACAAUGGGCGCAAGCCUGAUCCAGCAAUGCCGCGUGCAGGAAGAAGGCCUUCGGGUUGUAAACUGCUUUUGUACGGAACGAAACGGCUCUGGUUAAUACCCGGGGCUAAUGACGGUACCGUAAGAAGAAGCACCGGCUAACUACGUG